CUAAUGUUAUAUGUCAAUUACCUCGAUGAAAAAAUUUAAAAUAUUUAGUUAUUAAUAGAGUCCAAUUAUCAAUCUUUUCCUUUCUGGGCCUUGUUUAAGAAUCUUUGCCCAUCCUCUCGAACCCUUUAAAAAUGGCUUUCAUAUCCCACCAGUACCGUCCCUUGGAGAGGAGCCCUGGAAGAUGGGAGAGAAAGGGUUCCUAGAGGAGACAAGGUGAGCACUGACCUCUAAGGUGGAUGGACUGGGAUGAAGGAUGUUCCAAGUGAGGGGCAAACAAAUGAUGGGGGGCGGGUUGCAUUUGGUCACACAGCCCCGGCACCCAUUUCCGUAGGGCAACAGAGGUGCUGCUUUGCGUGUGUUACCACCACACUCCUGCAGGCGGGGACUCUCCACUUCAGCGCAUGUAGAAACCAGGCUGCAGAGAGUGCUCAGAAGCAUGGGUCAGUCAACCACAGGGAGCUCAGGACGUCCAACCCGAGCAUGCCCAGCUCCCGAGCUGUGCCUGAAGGCAGCCGGGAUUCCGUGCACCAGAGAAGAGGCGUCCUGUCUGGUAUCGGGAUGACUCAUGAGGCCCGACAGGCCCAGCUCUGCCAACUCCCCUGAAUGCAACCCUGGGGCUCUGGGAUAACAGCCAGCAGCCACCCAGAGCUUUCCAGAGGAGGAAUUGAGAUCAGACCCGCAGCAUGCUUGGCGCAGGGUGUGGCACAGUGCUGGCCGGCACCCAGCAGAGAGCACUGGGCCACAGGGAGGCCCCAGAAGACCCCUUCACCGUGGGCAGGAAGGGGGACAGAGGGUCUAAGGAGCCCCCACGCCCACCCCCCCUCAGACCUGUCCACCCAGUGUGGGAGGCCCUGGCCUGGUGCACACUAGCACAUCAGUGUUCCCUGGCUGGAUUUUGCCAGAAAAUCCAAGAGCUUCGUGUUUGGAAUUUGCUUCCAGCGCUACCGCACCCAUCAGCGCUUCCUGCUGGGGUAGUAAACCGCUGUGGGCCCCCGGCACCCCCACACACACACUGACUGGAGGGGCUCCCUAGGGCAGGCCUCUACAGGGGCCGGGACAGCCUCUUGCUGCUUCCAGGGAGGAGGCACUUUGGAGAGAGGCAGCCCCCCACUUUGAAUCCCAUUUCCCGGUUGGAGGAACCUGGGAGGUCUCUUGCACUUUUCUCCUGCUUGUUUUCCCCUCUGUAAAAUGGGGACCAUCCUAGCAGCUCCCUUUCAAGGUUCCUGGGUCCCUGUAAAGCGCGAGGCCCCUCUCAGCCCACAGCCCGGGCCGCGAGUUCGCGCGCCCGAAUCCGGCCACGCGGGGGCGCUCUGCUGCGCCCAGCCCGGCCCGGCGCCGGCCCUCGCUGGGCUCUGCGGGGACUCCUCCGCGUGCGGGAGCUCGGCGAAUACCUCUGACAGUUGGAAAAUGAAUCCAUCGACUCCACCCUGCGGACAUUUGUUUGGAAGGAGGCCAGCCCGCAGCGCGAGCCCCCUCCGCGCCGCUUGGAGGUCCCACCCCUGCUGCGCCCGCCGGCUUGCGGGGAGCGGCCCAUGUGGGCUCUGGACCGCCCCGAGGGGGUACCGGCCGGGGCCAGAGCUCCGGAUCCGGAUCAGCUGGAGGGACCCAAAGUCCCCAGCUCCGCCCUCCCUCCCCAGUGGCUUGAACGAGCCACAUCACGGCGCCUCGACUCCCAGCCUCAACUUCCACAUCCAUAAAUUGGGGAAGUCAACAGUCCCUACUUUGAAAAGUUGCUGAGAAAGUUAAAGGAGAUGUAUCACUGUGGUCCAGCUUCCAGGCCUUAGGCAAGCCACUUGCAUCUUUCUGAGCCUCAGUUUCCCCAGCCACAAAAUGGGGAUAAUAAAUGUCCUUACCUCCCAGGGUCAUUGAACAGACGAGAUUGCAGCAGCAGCCACCUGGCACCCCCUGACCCCUCAGUCAGUGGAGCCAUUGGGGUUCGGAAAGCUCUGCAGAGGCCCCGAGUCCACAGCUCACGCCUGUGCCCCAGAACCACAGGUCGUCUUUUAGGGAUCAAGCCACCCAGUUUGGGAGCUGCUGGCUUAGAGCCAAGCUGAUGCUCCCUCACUUCCCUGGCUCGGAUUGGUGGGGGGUUCGCUGUGCAGCCCACAAGCGUCUGGGCAGGGGGCUGGGAGGCAGUGCCCCCCUCCUCCUGACUGGUCUUCAGGGCCCCCUCUGGUUGAGUCACCAGGCAAAAACAUGCAGCUUUGACACCAUCCAGAAAAUGCAAAUGUCCUGGGCGUCUAAUCCUUCCCUUCCUUUUGGCAACUUAAACCACCCUGAAACAUAACCAAGAUAGCAAACCCAGUGUGAGUGUUCACGAUGGAGCCCCGGCCCCGGCCCCCCGGUAAAGCCGGCCUCGUGGACUUUGUGCAGCAAAGCAAUGCCUCCGGUCAGACUUAGCCUCACCAGCAGUUUGAUACUCAUGGAACUGAGGCUCAAAGGAGGGACUCUGAUGAUCUCAGAACUCAGAAUGCCACCUGGGCCUGUCGGGGAGUUCACAGCCCCUCCCUUGGAGGAAGGGAGCACAGAGCGACAAGAAAGACGCAGGUUCCUGAGACGGUGUGCAGGUACCAGAAUUUGUUCACUUUCCAGGAGCUGCUUAGAAACUAUUUCCACCUUCAACAGCACCCCUCCCCCAGCACUGCCACUUGUGUACAGGUGUCUGGAUCUCCGUGGUGGGAGCCCCCUGUUGGUCUCGGGGCUGGGGAGAGUGGGGGCAUCCGAGUGGAAAGCCCCAAACUGUAGAAUUGGGCACCAGAGCCACAGAGAUGUGCCACUUUCCUGAAGCUGUGUGCCUUUGCCUCUCCAAAGGCCUUCCCCCGGCAGUUUCCAGACCAAGGAGCCCACCCUCUUCCCCGGGAGCCGAGCCAAGAAGGUCCUGGGACAGAGGGCCCCAUGUGCCGCUCAUUUUUCUCCCCCUCUGGGCAGAGCUGACUCGUUCCGUGCCUCGGAGAGAUCUUUGCGAUGAUGGAUAAGCCGUGGCCCCGACUGCCGUGGCCCUGGGGAGAAAAAACAUCUUUUGCAGUUUCGUGUAAAGCCUCCCACUUCUCGCUUAAUAAGUGCUGAAAGCGGCACAAACAGAGAGACCCCGGGCUUGCCAUGACUAACAAGAUGACCACAUCAGGCAGCCGAGCUGGGGGAGAGGACCGCGCCGGCCGGCCCGGCGUCCCCGGAGCGAGGUGUCCGAUUCCGAUUCCCUCCCGGGACGCUCCGCCAGCAGCGCUUUGAAGCCGGGCCGAGGCCGCCGCGGAGCUGGGAGCUCGGAGGCGCGGAGCGGAGGGGGGAAAGGGCUGGGGCUCCCUCCUGCACGAUGGGCACAGAUCGCCCGAGAUAAAGGAACCACAGCCUCCGCCAACUUGUGCUGAGUCGCUCUUUUCAAAAGCCCUUUCAGAUGGUUUCACUUCUCCGCGCGCGCUUUGUUGAAAGAUGUAAAAAUUUCAAACCACCACAGAGUAAACAUUUCAAAACUCGCUCUUUGCAAAAUCAGUCACAUUUUCAAAAAUCCCUUGAAUUCCAUCUCCACCCCCUCCGCCCCUUCUUCUGCGCUCUUCGGAUUCGAGUGUUUUUCAUUAAUUUAGAAGCAGUCCAGGUAAAGCUGGUGUUUGCGAGCUGGUGUUUUACGGGCGGGAAGUAGCUUUGUUAUUUAGGAGAUGUUUUAGAUAAGUCAAUGUCUUGUCAAAAUCAAGCAGGUUUUCUUUAUUAGGGUGAAAUCGUAAUGAACUCAUCUGCUUCUAAUAUUUAUAAAGAGAAGAGAGGCCAUUAAUUCUACUGCUUGUGAAUAAAACCAUCUGUGAUUUCUUUCCA